UUAUUCAGAAAGAAAUGCAAAAGCACAAUAAUGAAGCUCGCGUACAACUAUCAAACAUUAAUCGAUUGAGCAGAAUGUGUUUCUUUUGUGGUGUAAAUUCAAUGGUGUGCAUCAAAAGUCUGACGUCAAAACUUCGGUUUGAGUUUUUUUUUUUCGUUUUCUGCAGUUUGAACUUUGACCUUAACGCACUCAUGCAUUGUUCAUAUAAAAUGGUUUUUCGCUUAGACUUAAGAGAAAAUAUAAGUUUAAAAUUGUUUUCAAAACAAAUUUACAUUUUUUGUGCAUUUAAUAACUGGUUAGCGUACUAAUAAAUUGAAUGUUUUCAUGAAUUUCAUCUCAAGAAGUGAAACUAAAAAUUAAGUGUUUCAAGUUUCAACAACUAGUGGAUAUAUACUAUUCUUUUCUUUAUCAAAGAAACCAUUAAAAAUCAUUCAUCUGUUUUGUGUUUCAGCAAAUCUGUGGCUCUCUCUAAAUUAGCAGUUACGAUGUUGUCCUCUGCAAUUCUGCACAUACUUCAUCAAUCAAAUCAGGCGUUACCAAUUACAGCGAUAUGUCAACGUUUGAAAAGAUUCUUUCCUGACGCAAUUCCUUCACAAGUCUCUUUGCGCACUGCAACCAUAGAAAGUGUGCUCCAAUUAUGUUACUUUGGUUUUAUCGUUUAUGAUCAGCGCAAAUGUGGCUAUAAGCUUUUAACCAAUUUGAAAACUAAAGAAAAAUAUCAGUUUGAAACAAGUUUGCGAAAAGUACUCUCCGAAUGGCCGAAACCAAUCAGAAGAAAGCAGUACAAACUUUUAAAGCUAUCGAAAGGAAAUCGAUAACCGAUGAGCUGUGAGAAACAAAACUAUGUUCAGUACUUAUAAGCGCAACAAGAGAAUAAAUAUGCGGCUGUUUUCAAAAUUUCCACUAUGUAACCAGAAGAAAA